CCAGCAGCCGCGGUAAUUCCAGCUCCAAUAGCGUAUAUUAAAGUUGUUGCAGUUAAAAAGCUCGUAGUUGGACCUUGGAGAGAGAUGCAUGGUCGGCCGAACGGCUGCACUAGGCGUCUCUCUCUUCCUUCUGUAGACCAUGUAUGCCCUUAGUUGGGUGUGCAUUGGGAUGCAGAUCGUUUACUUUGAAUAAAUUAGAGUGUUCAAAGCAGGCAAUCGCUUGAAUACGUUAGCAUGGAAUAAUGAAAUAGGACUUUGGUUCUAUUUUGUUGGUUUCUAGGACCGAAGUAAUGAUUAAUAGGGAUAGUUGGGGGCAUUAAUAUUUAAUUGUCAGAGGUGAAAUU
rnacentral:rRNA from 1 species